GCACUGCUGAGGAGUCCCACAAUAGGAUGAAACGUCGGUCCAGUGC
rnacentral:hammerhead_ribozyme from 1 species